AUGAAAAUAAGAAUUUUAUAAUUUUUGUAUUUUAUUCGCCAGUGCACUUUUUUGUUGGACCACGUGUUAUGAACGAAAAGUUUUAUUGAGUGAUGCAAUUGCCUACGGAAUAACACGUGAUGUGUAUUCAGCCAAUCAAAAUAAAGUAUUAUAAUGAAACAUACAUCAUCUAAUGUAAUUAUAUAACUAUAAAAAGGGAAAUGUAGUUAAACUUUGUCAAUGAGAAAACUGUUCUAUCUAUUAUCACUAAUAUUGUGGUUCUAUCCUAGUCCGCGGUUAUUCUGUUUGACGGCCCCCUUAAUUUAUUAGGAUUUCUGAUUCCAACAAGUCCUUUAAAGCAGUCAGAGGACCGAUUAAUCUAGGAUAU
rnacentral:lncRNA from 1 species